UUCCGGUUUCCGCCGAGGUCUGCCCCUGGCUAUUUGGCUCUACGCUGUUUUUCGGUGAAAGGCACCGGGAGGCACCGAGCUGUGGUUUGAUGGUCCUCUCAGAUCUGAAAGAGUUAAGACAAUGGAUACAUCUGAGGGCUUGGUGUCAUUUGAGGAUGUGUCUGUGGACUUCACCUGGGAUGAGUGGCAGGACCUGGAUGACAGUCAGAGGAAGCUCUACAGGGACGUGAUGCUGGAGACCUACAGCAGCCUGCUGUCCUUGAAUCAGUGUGAUGCCAAACCUGAGUUGAUCCUGAAGUUGGAGAAAGAAGCUGAGCCAUGGAAGGAAGACAAUGCCCCAGACCAGAGCCUCCCAGAUAUGCAGAAUGUGGAUGACCGGAAUAAGGUCAGUCAAGACAGCCAAAAGAUGCGCAGAUACAGUCUGGUAAUUGCCAAGAGCAGCGUGUCAUCUGAGAGGGCUCCAGCAGGAAAAGCAUUGAGUAGCUCACACCGUGUUUUAGAUCUGGCCAUAAAGAACAGCACAUCUUCUGGAAUGAGCCCUGGGCCACUUAAUAUGCAGGACAGUAUGCUUCUCCCUAGGGAGCCCAGUGAGAUGCAGGCUAGAAAGGAACUUGGUCUUCCUGAUGUGACCAGGGUGUCCCCCAGACUUCCUGAGCCUCUUAGUCUGUAUCGCAGUACUGAAUGUGAAGAACAGCAUUUUCAGUACUGUGGGCCCAGUGAAGCUUUCCACGUGAAGCCAGUGUGGUUGCAAAAAGCAUUCCCUAUGAGCAAUCCCUCCAGUAAGUUGAGGGACUACAGGAAAGAGUUAGAAAAGUUAGCUCUUCCUGCCAAAGGGGAGACUCGGGCACAGGUACAAACUUUUGAAUGCAAAGUGUGUGGGAAGUUAUUCUGUAAAAAUUCCCAUCUCACACAGCAUUUAAAAAUGCACAAAGAAAAGAGAUGUUAUAAAGGUAGUAAUUGUGAGCCAAUACUCAAUAUACAACCGAAAUUCCCAAAACACCAGAGCUUGCAUGCGGGAGAACUUUAUACAUGUAAUGGUGAUGAGAAAUACAUUCAUCCAAAGUCAGAAAAAAGCAUUCAGCAGAAAAUCAUAGGUGACAGGAGGAUUGUGUGUGGGAAGACCGUGUGCUCAAAACUAAAUUGUAGCGUUGAGCAGAGCCCUCUCAAGCACGAGGAGACCCACGAGUUCAGUCUAGCUGGGAAAACAGUUAGGAAGUCAGACCUCCAUCAGCUGGAGACACCUCACAGAUACGAGAGAGUGUAUGAGUGUAAUGCAUGUGGCAAAACCUUUAGUCACACACCACGUGUCUACUCACCCUCGGGAGCUCACUCGGCUGAGAAACCCUAUGAGUGUGAAGACUGUCAGCAGUCUAAGCUCGUGGUGAGCCAGCCAGCUCCCACGCAGGAGAAACGCUAUGUGUGUAAUGUGUGUGGAAAAGCCUUUUACAAGCGAGCCCACCUACACGCACAUCAGAGGACCCACACAGGUGAGAAGCCAUAUGACUGCAAAGAGUGCGGGAAGUCUUUUAGACUGAAGUCAUUUCUUGUUGUCCAUCAGCGGAUUCACACGGGGGAGAAACCCUUUGCGUGUGAUACGUGCGGGAAGAGCUUCAAGCAGAGGACGAGUCUCUACACACACAUAAGAAUCCACACAGGCGAGAAGCCCUACGAGUGUAAAGAAUGUAGGAAGUCCUUCAUUCUCAAGUCCUACCUCACUGUGCACCAGAGAACUCACUCAGGCGAGAAGCCCUAUGAGUGUGACGUCUGUGGGAAAUCCUUUAAGCAAAAUUCCCACCUUCAUGCGCACAAGAGAACUCACACAAGUGAGAAGCCCUAUGAGUGUAUCGUGUGUGGCAAAAGUUACAAGCAGAGUCCAAGCCUCUACACACAUAAGAAAAUACACACCAGUGAGAAACCCUAUGAGUGUAAGCAAUGUAGGAAGUCAUUUAGUUUGAAAUUCCACCUCACUAGGCAUCAGAGAACUCACUCCGGUGAGAAACACUAUCAGUGAAAUGUGUGGUCUGAACUCCGGACCGCUCCCGCGAACUUCCGGUCUAUUUCCGGCGUCGCCAUCUUGCUUCCGGUUUCCGAGGGGGUUGGAUUGUGCCUCAGUCCUGUGCCAGACAGGACGUCUAUGGACGGGCGCCGUGCGGUGUGCGCUGUGCAAAUGGUGCGAUCCGGGGAGCCCUGCGCGGGGCUGAGUUCCCAGUCUCUGUCGCCCUCGGUCCUUGAUGCUGCAAGACUUGUCUUCAGCCGUAUCUCGUCUCCUCCUCCUCCUGACCCCGGUGCCACAACUGCCGUGUCUAGUGUCCCGUUGUCUGGCAUGACAGUCCUAGAUCCUGGAGCAGCCCGACGUCGAGUGAGGAGAAUGAGCGCUGUUGUGGGCUUGGUGUCAUUUGAGGAUGUGUCUGUGGACUUCACCUGGGAUGAGUGGCAGGACCUGGAUGACAGUCAGAGGAAGCUCUACAGGGACGUGAUGCUGGAGACCUACAGCAGCCUGCUGUCCUUGAAUCAGUGUGAUGCCAAACCUGAGUUGAUCCUGAAGUUGGAGCAAGGAGCUGGGCCAUGGAAGGAAGACGAUGCCCCAGACCAGAGCCUCCCAGCUCUGCAGCCUGUGAAGAGCCUGAAGGAAACCAGAAGGGACACUGGAAAGAGACAUUUGAGCCACCUGGUAGUCACUGGCAGUGCAUCAGCUGAGGAGAAGAGUAGAUUUGGGGAAAUACUUAGUAUAAAUUCAAACCAUGUUUUGCACCUGGCUCUUAAGACUAGGAGCACUUCUAGAAUGAGAUCUGAGGUGCUUGAUACAUGGGGAAAUGUGUAUCUCCCCGGUGGGCCCAUUGAGAUGCAGGCUACAGAGGAACUUGAUCAUCUUAAUCCCACUAAGAUGCCGCACAGACCUCCUGCGCCUCUUAGUCUGGAUCUCAGUGCUGAACGUGGACCACAGCACGGCCAGUGCGCCCAGCAUGGUGAAGCCUUCGAUGUGCACACUGUAUGGACGCGUACAGUGUUUCCCUUGGGAGACAGCUCGACGAACACCUUUGAUAAGUCGGCUCUUACUGCCCAAGAGGGGACUCACAUAAGGGAGGAAACUUUUGAUUGUAACAUGUGUAAGAAGCCAUUCUCUGACACGUGUAACCACACUCGGCAUUUAAAACCACACCUAAAAAAGCAGUGUGGUAAGUGUUCUGACAGCGAGCCAGCAUUCCGUGCGAAAGCAGGCCUUCAGCACACUCUGCACGCGUGGGGAAAACCACGUGGGUGUAACGACAAUAAGAAGUGUGUGCAUCAGAUGCCGAAACCGAGGUCGAAUCAGAGUGUCUUCUCAAGUAAAGAGAGUAAUUGUGUGAAAACAUUUUGCCCAGACUCAACUUUGAGUGUGCAGCAGAGGCCACACAGAGGUAAAAAGCACCAGGAGUCCAGUACACCUGUAAAAAUCAACAGCCAGCCUCGUCGACGUCACAGAUGUGGGAGGACCUAUCAGUGUAAAGUAUGUGGGAAAGCCUUUAAACACACACAAAAUCUCUAUUUACAUCACAGGACUCACACUGGGGAGAAGCCCUAUGAGUGUAAAGAGUGUAAGAAACUAUUCAGCGUAAAGUCAAAUCUCAGUGUACAUCAGAAAACCCACACGGGCGAAAAACCCUAUGAGUGUAACAUAUGUGGAAAUGCCUUUAAAAGGAGGUGUGACCUAACUAUCCACCAGAGGGUCCACACAGGCGAGAAGCCCUACGAAUGUAAAGAGUGCGGGAAAACUUUCAGUAUAAAGUCAGGGCUCAUUGUACAUCAGAGAAUCCACACGGGCGAGAAACCGUACGAGUGCAGUGUCUGUGGGAAACGUUUCAACCAGAAGUCAAAUCUCUCCACACAUGAGAAAAUCCACACAGGUGAGAAACCCUUUGAAUGCAAAGAAUGUAGCAAAGCAUUUAGUGUCAAGUCCUAUCUCACUAUCCAUCAGAAAACUCACGUGGGUGAGAAACCUCACUCGUGAAGUCAGGGGAAGCCUUCUGUGAGCAGACAAACCUCCAUAGACAUCCUAGCGCAGACACAGGUCAGAAAUGGCCUCUGUGCACACAGAGAAUGGAGAAAAAGCGUAAGCCGUUUAUCCUCUCCCCGUGUGCUGCAGAGAGGUGAGAGGUGAUGACCCCUGGGCACGUAAAGGUGGCAGAGACUCUGAGUCUAAAGUCAGGUCUCAUUGAUUAGUGAGCUCAAAACCUGAGAAACCUACCAGUGUAGGAUGUGCUCAGAAGACCUCUGUCAGAUGUCAGACGUUAGCUAUCAGAGAAACGCUGCAGGUGAGAGACCCUCUGACUGUGAGGCCUGGAACAGUCAGUCUUCAGUAAGACUGAGAAUCUGUACUGAUAGAAACCCUGAGUGUAGCUGUGUGGAAAGCCCUUUAGUCAGAAGUUCCAUCUCUAAGAAGCUUUUGGCUUCCCACAGGUCAGAAGCCCUGUGAAUAUAAAGAAUGCAGCAAAGCAUGCCACGUUUGUCACAGAGGUUCCUGUCAGUGUAAUCCAUAGAACGGUCACCUGCCACCGUUCAACCCUAGAUGCACAUCAGAGAAGUCUCACCGAUGAGAGGCCUUAUGACUGUAAGGACUCCAUCAUUUCCAACAAAGGUGCAGCGGGGCCCUCAAGUAGAAAAGCUCUGCAGGUAGAAAGGGGAGGCAGUCCCAACAGCAGGUAACUCACUGCAUGUCACACACAAACAGCUGAGAAGUGUGUGGUGAAUGCAGUGUAUGUGAAGAAACCUAGAUGUCAGACCUCAGCAGUCCGUAGGUGAAGAGCCCUUCAGCUCUAAGGCAUCCUUUACUGCAUACCAAAGAAGGCACAUGGGAUAAGCCAUAGCAAUUUAAUGUGUGUGCAAAAACUUGGUUCUAUAAGACAAAGACAUCUGCCUCCACUGGAGACCCACACAAACACAAAACCCCAUGAAUAUAAAAAACUGAACGAAAAAAGAACAAAAACCCUGUGAAUUUAAAGAAUGUAGAAAAUAUUUCAUAUUUUUGGGUUAUGUGUAAGAACUCACAUAGGUAACUGUGCACACACACAAGUAAGUAUAACAUAAAGAGAAAUGUGUGCAUCAGAAAACCCUCACUCCCGAGAAACCACAGAGUGUGAUAUAUAUAAUAGAUAACAUUUUUUUACCCAGUGGGAACACUUUGGAGAGGUCGGGCUGGAAGUACCUGGAUGAAAUGCAUAUGGACAACCCUGUUAGAGGAAGUUAACUCCACAUUGGAGAAUUCACAAGAGAGGGGAUGCUGCUGACAGGUGGGAACGCAUAUCUAUAAUGGUUAUCGAUAUGGAAAAAUGUCAUUGUGAGAGGUCCUAUAGGCUCAGGUCUCGUGUGCUAAGAUUUGCUUUGCUUCUUUUUCCUGGGGGCUGGCAGCCUGUAUGUGUAGUGUAAUGGCGAGAACAUGACCUGGGUCUUAUGGGAGUUUUAACAUUUGUAAUGAGUCAUUUCUUCCCAGCCUCAACCCUGAAUGCUUGCAUUCAUUAUCCCUGAAUCUGUCCUCAUGGCCUGAAAGGCAGGUGAGUUUAUCUUCGAUAAGAGGACAUAGCAAAUGACACUGAUUUAAGGACAUGUCUUAUUAGAGAGAGCAGAGCCUCCGUAUGUGUUUAUAAAUCUCUUGUUUAUAUGAGUAAUAGAACAUUCUAUAUGAGCUUUUUGCAAUGUAGUACAAAAUCAUUUUAACCCAUUUUGAAAGCAUUUCAAACAGAAUCUUUCAUGUUAGAAAGCUCACUCAGGAGAGGACCCUUCUUGUAACCUGUGUAUUUUCAAUAUUUUCAAGCCAUUUUGUGAAUAAAAAGAACCAUGACAUUUCAAUAAAUUCUAAAUGCCUUACCUGGCACAAGCAUUACAUUAAAAAGAUAGUUAAGCUCUUUUCAUGUGUGUUCCAUAUGAUUAUCCAUAAAACAUUAAAAUUCAUAUGUAUCAGAAAUUAUUCAUUAAAAUGGCAUUGUCACUUUCUAAGUGUUAAAAGUGCUAAAAUUAUGUUUGAGCUGGGUGUAGUGGCAUGUGCUUUAAUUCCAGCACUCAGGAG